ACGCACGCUGGCGGCAGGCCUCACACCUGCAAGUCGAGCGCCCUUUCGGGGGAGCGGCGGCCGGGUGAGUAACGCGUGGGAAUAUGCCCUUCUCUACGGAAUAGCCUCGGGAAACUGAGAGCAAUACCGUAUACGCCCUUUGGGGGAAAGAUUUAUCGGGGAAGGAUUAGCCCGCGUUGGAUUAGGUAGUUGGUGGGGUAAUGGCCUACCAAGCCGACGAUCCAUAGCUGGUUUGAGAGGAUGAUCAGCCACACUGGGACUGAGACACGGCCCAGACUCCUACGGGAGGCAGCAGUGGGGAAUCUUAGACAAUGGGGGCAACCCUGAUCUAGCCAUGCCGCGUGAGUGAUGAAGGCCUUAGGGUUGUAAAGCUCUUUCAGCUGGGAAGAUAAUGACGGUACCAGCAGAAGAAGCCCCGGCUAACUCCGUG
rnacentral:rRNA from 1 species